GCUGGCGACCAUAGCAAGAGUGAACCACCUGAUCCCUUCCCGAACUCAGAAGUGAAACCUCUUAGCGCUGAUG
rnacentral:rRNA from 1 species